rfam:Saitoella complicata NRRL Y-17804 DNA, contig: contig001, whole genome shotgun sequence.
GUCAGCGUGUCCGAGUGGUUAAGGAGUAGCACUCGAAAUGCUAUGGUGUCUCGCCGCACAGGUUCGAAUCCUGUCGCUGACG